rnacentral:piRNA from 1 species
UGUCAUGAAUGGCUGAGCCACCGUGGUGUCU